ensembl:processed_transcript
GACAGACAUCCAACAAAGGCAAAAAUCACAGAGGUCCUGGUCUUAAUGAUCAUUGUCUUGGGGAACAGAAUGACCGGCUUUGUGGAAAUACACAGCUAUAAUUGAAUGCAGCAUGACCUCCGACCUCACCCCUAAUGGUAGUGUAAUGAGAGAUGAGGGCUCAUUGUUGCACCCAUGUUGAAGAUUUGGGAUUCUACACUAACGACAGAGCAGACGGCCCAUCUGUCAGGUGAAUGGCUUUUUUGGCUGCGGGAACUGUGUGGAUGACUAUGCUGGACAAUGAGAUGGACAAUCUGACUCUGGGCAGGAAUGGACAAAGCGGACUAAAGGAAGGAAGCUGGAGUCUGAGUCCACAGAGAUAACGGCUGAGAGGAGAUUCACUCCAAACUACAUGCUAUUAUGAUGCGACUGCCUGACCUUUCCUGCACAGAUCUGCUCCUCUAUUCAUCUGGAAAAAAGGGAGUGGAUUUUUUCAAGAUGUUCUCCAAUGCCGGUAAAAGCAGACCUUAUCAUCAUCUACAUUGUCUGGAAGUCCAGUACAGCGGCAGCACAAACAAAACAGACAAAGCUCAUGUUUAGAUGAUGCUAUCGUCUCAGUUUCAAAGCUAAAGUGAUUUAUGUCAGCUUCCUAACAUGUCUGUGCCUGCUUUGGCUCAUUGAGGCAUUGUAAAGUGCGUUCACUCCAUUCAGAUCAAAACAGGAAGUACAAACAACGCACAAACAACAGCCUAAUCGCUUCCUGUCAGAGGUCUUUUGCGGAGCACGACCCAUAAGAAAACAACAGCGCCGUUGGUCAGAUGGGGAGAUAAAGAAAGGCCAUCUCUUUCAUCAUUUCCCAUCUUCUCAAGCACAAUGUUUUG